UAUACAACUCUUAACGGUGGAUCACUUGGCUCGUGGGUCGAUGAAGACCGCAGCAAGCUGCGUGUCGGUAUGUGAAUCGCAAGAAUACCAGAUACAUCGACAAGUCGAACGCACAUUGCGG
rnacentral:rRNA from 6 species